CAAGUCGAACGAACCUUCGGGUUAGUGGCGGGCGGGUGAGUAACGCGUGAGAAUCUGCCCUCAGGAGGGGGAUAGCGGCUGGAAACGGCCGCUAAUACCCCAUAUGCCGAGAGGUGAAAUGAAUUUCGCCUGAGGAUGAGCUCGCGUCUGAUUAGCUAGUUGGUGGGGUAAAGGCCUACCAAGGCAUCGAUCAGUAGCUGGUCUGAGAGGAUGAUCAGCCACACUGGGACUGAGACACGGCCCAGACUCCUACGGGAGGCAGCAGUGGGGAAUUUUCCGCAAUGGGCGCAAGCCUGACGGAGCAACGCCGCGUGAGGGAUGAAGGCCUCUGGGCUGUAAACCUCUUUUAUCAAGGAAGAAGAUCUGACGGUACUUGAUGAAUAAGCCACGGCUAAUUCCGUGCCAGCAGCCGCGGUAAUACGGGAGUGGCAAGCGUUAUCCGGAAUUAUUGGGCGUAAAGCGUCCGCAGGCGGUCUUGUAAGUCUGUCGUUAAAGCGUGGAGCUUAACUCCAUUUCAGCGAUGGAAACUGUAAGACUAGAGUGUGGUAGGGGCAGAGGGAAUUCCCGGUGUAGCGGUGAAAUGCGUAGAUAUCGGGAAGAACACCAGUGGCGAAGGCGCUCUGCUGGGCCAUAACUGACGCUCAUGGACGAAAGCCAGGGGAGCGAAAGGAUUAGAUACCCCUGUAGUCCUGGCCGUAAACGAUGAACACUAGGUGUCGGGGGAAUCGACCCCCUCGGUGUCGUAGCCAACGCGUUAAGUGUUCCGCCUGGGGAGUACGCACGCAAGUGUGAAACUCAAAGGAAUUGACGG
rnacentral:rRNA from 1 species